rnacentral:rRNA from 1 species
GGAGCGAGUGGCGAACUGGUGAGUAACACGUGGGUAACCUGCCCCGAAGCGGGGGAUAACAUUUGGAAACAAGUGCUAAUACCGCAUAAUUAGUUGGAACCGCAUGGUUCCAACUUGAAAGAUGGCUCUGCUAUCACUUUGGGAUGGACCCGCGCCGUAUUAGUUAGUUGGUGAGAUAAAAGCCCACCAAGACGAUGAUACGUAGCCGACCUGAGAGGGUAAUCGGCCACAUUGGGACUGAGACACGGCCCAGACUCCUACGGGAGGCAGCAGUAGGGAAUCUUCCACAAUGGACGAAAGUCUGAUGGAGCAACGCCGCGUGAGUGAUGAAGGUUUUCGGAUCGUAAAACUCUGUUGUUAAAGAAGAACAAGUGUUAGAGUAACUGUUAACACUUUGACGGUAUUUAACCAGAAAGCCACGGCUAACUACGUGCCAGCAGCCGCGGUAAUACGUAGGUGGCAAGCGUUGUCCGGAUUUAUUGGGCGUAAAGCGAGCGCAGGCGGUUUUGUAAGUCUGCUGUGAAAGCCCUCAGCUCAACUGAGGAAGUGCAGUGGAAACUACAAAACUUGAGUACAGA